AGAGAGAGAGAGAGAGAGAGAGAGAGAGAGAGAGAGAGAGAGAGAGAGAGAGAGAGCGUGUGUGUGUGUGUGUGUGUGUGUGUGUGUGUGGUGUAUGUACGCGUUUUCUCACGGUGGGAUGUUUAUUUCGGUGAACGCCAGGAAAGUGCAGUGUUAGAGAUCUGUCUGUGCUAGCUAGCUCGGGAGCAAACACGCCGCAAGCAACUGUAAUCAAUAUGUAACUUUCUUCAUCCUCAGAGAAAUCCCCGCUGUCCCCAGGCACCCAUGCAAGGAAAGUCACUUGAUUAUGAAAGUGUUUCAGAAGAAAAGCAGACGCCGGUGGAGAGAGAGGCAGUGUCUCGAAGGAGGGAACAAGCCUCUCUUAAGACAUGUUUUGCAGCUCCAUGAAACUGAAAUCUGGUUGAACAGUGUUUAGACUUCUACCUUUUAACCAUCUCCUAUCACAGCCCACAUUCAAGCUUUAGAAUCUCAAAGCUUGCUUUUGUCUGAACUGCUUUCACAAACAUCCACAAGUUACGAUCAGUUUUGGUUCUGAUCUAGCAGUUCUGGAGCAGAGUUAAGAGGGACAAAGGAAAACAAUCCGUUGAAAUAGAGAAGUGUGGAAAUAUAUGGCCCUUGUUGGAACUCCAUAUAUAGACCAGAUUGCUCUUGAACACAGAAAUAUCUGCCUGAUUUUUAUUCCUGAAAGCUGAGAUUAAAGUGACAGGCAGUGAAAGAUACUUCUUAGAAAAUGUUGACUCCUCUGGAAUAAAGCACUGCUAUGAGGCACUGGUUGGGAAAUUCAUGAGAAAGGAAACUGACUCUUAGAAAACAUGCCAGGUUAAAGGGUUCUGACAUUGACAACAGAAGAAAAAAGCUGCUUAGAAGUACUUGCAUUUGGCAUCUUUUCUGCACAUCGAAUACAGGAGACAGAGCAAAUAAUUUAUUAUGACUAAUUUAUGAGUUAAUAAAUAAAGUUUAGAGUCCACAAUCUGCAUCCGGGGGCUGAGGCUGUUCCAUGCCUGCUGAGCACUGUCCCUCCAGGAGAAAGCUGUUCUUCCAGGAAUGCCUUCACUCCCAGGCUUUGAGAUCCAUAACACAACCAUAAUGUGCACAGAAGGGGAAGAAAUAUUUAAGGACAGGAGCCUAUCACAACUGUCCGCUGAGAGGCUCCACACAGCAAGUGACUGGAACAGAUGCACACAGAUGCACAGCAGCUAAAUAUAAAGUAGAGACUGGGGAGUCUUGUGGGAAAGCAGAGAGGACAGUUUAUCCACAAGAAGACCAACAAAGUCAACUAACCUAGACCCUUGAUGGCUCUAAGAGACUGAGCCACCCACCAAAGGCUUGAUGUCAGCUCCCUGAUCACGUGCAGCUUGGUCUUCCGGUCUCCCAACAACGGAAGGGGGCAUUUCUGACUCUGUUGCCUCUCUGUGAAUAUGUUCCCCCAAAUGGGCUGCCUUUG
rnacentral:lncRNA from 1 species